rnacentral:rRNA from 1 species
UACGUAGGGUGCAAGCGUUAAUCGGAAUUACUGGGCGUAAAGCGUGCGCAGGCGGUUUUGUAAGUCAGAUGUGAAAUCCCCGGGCUCAACCUGGGAAUGGCAUUUGGGACUGCAAGGCUGGAGUGCGGCAGAGGAGACUGGAAUUCCUGGUGUAGCAGUGAAAUGCGUAGAUAUCAGGAGGAAUACCGAUGGCGAAGGCAGGUCUCUGGGCUGACACUGACGCUCAUGCACGAAAGCGUGGGGAGCAAACAGG